GAUGAACGCUGGCGGCGUGCCUAAUACAUGCAAGUCGAGCGAACGGACGAGAAGCUUGCUUCUCUGAUGUUAGCGGCGGACGGGUGAGUAACACGUGGAUAACCUACCUAUAAGACUGGGAUAACUUCGGGAAACCGUAGCUAAUACCGGAUAAUAUUUUGAACCGCAUGGUUCAAAAGUGAAAGACGGUCUUGCUGUCACUUAUAGAUGGAUCCGCGCUGCAUUAGCUAGUUGGUAAGGUAACGGCUUACCAAGGCAACGAUGCAUAGCCGACCUGAGAGGGGGAUCGGACACACUGGAACUGAGACACGGACCAGACUACUACGGGAGGCAGCAGUAGGGAAUAUUACGCAAUGGGCGAAAGCAUGACGGAGCAAAGCAGAGUGAGUGAUGAAGGUCUUAGGAUCGUAAAACUCUGUUAUUAGGGAAGAAAAUAUGUGUAAGUAACUGUGCACAGCUUGACGGUACCUAAUCAGAAAGCCACGGCUAACUACGUG
rnacentral:rRNA from 1 species